rnacentral:tRNA from 2 species
GGAGCAGUGUCAGAGUGGUCGAUCGAGGCAGUCUUGAAAACUGCUGGGCGUGAUGAGCGUCCCGUGGGUUCGAAUCCCACCUGCUCCG